rnacentral:rRNA from 1 species
UACGAAGGGGGCUAGCGUUGUUCGGAAUUACUGGGCGUAAAGCGCACGUUAGGCGGAUACUUAAGUCAGGGGGUGAAAUCCCGGGGCUCAACCCCGGAACUGCCUUUGAUACUGGGUAUCUCGAGUCCGGAAGAGGUGAGUGGAAUUCCGAGUGUAGAGGUGAAAUUCGUAGAUAUUCGGAGGAACACCAGUGGCGAAGGCGGCUCACUGGUCCGGUACUGACGCUGAGGUGCGAAAGCGUGGGGAGCAAACAGGG